AUGAGGCCUUCUACAGACAACUGGAAGCAGCCUCACGAUCACAGGCCCUGGUUCUCAUGGGGGAACUUCAACCACCCUGAUAUCUGCUGGAAACACAACACAGCUAGGCACAAACAGUCUCGGAGGUUCCUGCAGAGCAUUGAUGACAACUUCUUGACACAGGUGGUGGAGGAGCCAACAAGGAGAGGUGUGCUGCUGCACCUCGUACUAACAAACAAAGAAAGGCUGGUUGGAGAUGUGAAGGUCGGGGGCAGCCUUGGCUGCAGUGACCAUGAGAUGGUGGAGUUGAGGAUCCUGCGAGGAGGAAGCAGGGCACUGAGUAGGAUCACAACCCUGGACUUCAGGAGAGCAAACUUUGGCCUCUUCAGGGAGCUACUUGGAGGAAUCCCAUGGGUUACAGCCCUAGAAGGAAGUGGGGUUCAAGAGAGCUGGUUAAUAUUCAAGCAUCACUUCCUCCAAGCUCAAGAGCGGUGCAUCCCUAUGAAUAGGAAGUCAAGCAAAGGAGGUAGGAGACCUGCAUGGAUGAGCAAGGAGCUCCCGGCAAAACUCAAACAGGAGGAGGAAGUAUACAGAAAAUGGAAAGGGGGACAGGCCACUUGGGAGGAAUACAGGAACGUUGUGUGCAGGGAUGCGACAAGGAAGGACAAGGCCCAUUUGGAAUUAAAUCUGGCAAGGGAUGUCAAGGACAACAAGAAGGGCUUCUUCAAAUACCUCAGUAGCAAAAGGAAGACUAGGGAAAAUGUGGGCCCGCUGCUGAAUGGGGUGUGUGCCCUGGUGACGAAGGAUGCAGAGAAAGCAGAGUUACUGAAUGUCUUCUUUGCUUCAGUCUUUACUGCUCAGGCAAGUCUUCAGGAAUCCCAGACCUUGGAGGCAAGAGAGAAAGUCUGGAAAAAGGAAGACUUUCCCUUGGUCGAGGAGGAUUGGGUUAGAGAUCAUUUAAGCAAACCUGACACCCACAAAUCCAUGGGCCCCAAUGGGAUGCACCCACGAGUGCUGAGGGAGCUGGCGGAUGCCAUUGCUAGGCCACUCCAUCUUCUUUGA
rnacentral:lncRNA from 1 species